rnacentral:misc_RNA from 1 species
ACUUGCACUGGUAUCUAUGCUGGUGCUGGCAUUCCUAGUGAAUUGAGUAGUUUGACCCAACUACGAAAACUUGAUGUUCGCGAAGUGUCUGAUGAUCAUGCUGGUGAGCUAUUUGCAUCCAUCAUAAAACUGGAAAACCUUGUUUCCCUGUCACUAAUUGCAGAAGAAAACUGGUCGGUCACACUUCUACCUGAAUUGGAACAAUUUUUUCCUCCACCUCAUCUUCAAGAGCUUAUUU